AGGGGGCUAGCGUUGUUCGGAAUUACUGGGCGUAAAGCGCACGUAGGCGGAUAUUUAAGUCAGGGGUGAAAUCCUGGAGCUCAACUCCAGAACUGCCUUUGAUACUGGCGAUCUUGAGUCCGGGAGAGGUGAGUGGAACUGCGAGUGUAGAGGUGAAAUUCGUAGAUAUUCGCAAGAACACCAGUGGCGAAGGCGGCUCACUGGCCCGGUACUGACGCUGAGGUGCGAAAGCGUGGGGAGCAAACAGG
rnacentral:rRNA from 1 species